rnacentral:rRNA from 1 species
GAUGAACGCUGGCGGCGUGCCUAAUACAUGCAAGUCGAGCGAACUGAUUAGAAGCUUGCUUCUAUGACGUUAGCGGCGGACGGGUGAGUAACACGUGGGCAACCUGCCUGUAAGACUGGGAUAACUUCGGGAAACCGAAGCUAAUACCGGAUAGAAUCUUCUCCUUCAUGGGAGAUGAGUGAAAGAUGGAUUCGGCUAUCACUUACAGAUCGGCCCGCGGUGCAUUAGCUAGUUGGUGAGGUAACGGCUCACCAAGGAAACGAUGCAUAGCCGACCUGGGAGGGUGAUCGGCCACACUGGGACUGAGACACGGCCCAGACUCCUACGGGAGGCAGCAGUAGGGAAUCUUCCGCAAUGGACGAAAGUCUGACGGAGCAACGCCGCGUGGGUGAUGAAGGCUUUCGGGUCGUAAAACUCUGUUGUUAGGGAAGAACAAGUACGAGAGUAACUGCUCGUACCUUGACGGUACCUAACCAGAAAGCCACGGCUAACUACGUGCCAGCCGCCGCGGUAA